GCCAGGGGAGCAUGGGUGGCACAUGCACUCGACUUGUAAUCGAGAUUUCGUGGGUUCAACUCCCACCCCUGGCU
rnacentral:tRNA from 1 species